rnacentral:rRNA from 1 species
CCCUUAGAUGUUCUGGGCCGCACGCGCGCUACACUGAUGCAUGCAACAAGUCUUUUCCUUGGCCGAGAGGCCUGGGCAAUCUUUGAAUAUGCAUCGUGAUGGGGAUAGACGAUUGCAAUUAUUCGUCUUCAACGAGGAAUUCCUAGUAAACGCAAGUCAUCAGCUUGCAUUGAUUACGUCCCUGCCCUUUGUACACACCGCCCGUCGCACCUACCGAUUGAAUGGUCCGGUGAAGCCUCCGGAUUGGCGCGCACCUCGGUGCCGCCGAGAAGUUGGCUAAACCUUACCAUUUAGAGGAAGGUGAAGUCGUAACA